GGGUCAGUGGCACAAUGGAUAAUGUGUUUGACUAUAAAUCUGAAGAUUGUAGGUUCGACUCCUGGCUGGCUUG